UACGAAGGGGGCUAGCGUUGCUCGGAAUCACUGGGCGUAAAGGGUGCGUAGGCGGGUCUUUUAGUCAGGGGUGAAAUCCCGGAGCUCAACUCCAGAACUGCCUUUGAUACUGAAGAUCUUGAGUUCGGGAGAGGUGAGUGGAACUGCGAGUGUAGAGGUGAAAUUCGUAGAUAUUCGCAAGAACACCAGUGGCGAAGGCGGCUCACUGGCCCGAUACUGACGCUGAGGCACGAAAGCGUGGGGAGCGAUCCGG
rnacentral:rRNA from 1 species